UCGGACGGGGUGAGUAACGCGUGAGAAUCUAACUUCAGGACGGGGACAACAGUUGGAAACGACUGCUAAUACCCGAUGUGCCGCAAGGUGAAACCUAAUUGGCCUGGAGAAGAGCUUGCGUCUGAUUAGCUAGUUGGUGGGGUAAGAGCCUACCAAGGCGACGAUCAGUAGCUGGUCUGAGAGGAUGAGCAGCCACACUGGGACUGAGACACGGCCCAGACUCCUACGGGAGGCAGCAGUGGGGAAUUUUCCGCAAUGGGCGAAAGCCUGACGGAGCAACGCCGCGUGAGGGAGGAAGGUCUUUGGAUUGUAAACCUCUUUUCUCAAGGAAGAAGUUCUGACGGUACUUGAGGAAUCAGCCUCGGCUAACUCCGUGCCAGCAGCCGCGGUAAUACGGGGGAGGCAAGCGUUAUCCGGAAUUAUUGGGCGUAAAGCGUCCGCAGGUGGUCAGCCAAGUCUGCCGUCAAAUCAGGUUGCUUAACGACCUAAAGGCGGUGGAAACUGGCAGACUAGAGAUCAGUAGGGGUAGCAGGAAUUCCCAGUGUAGCGGUGAAAUGCGUAGAGAUUGGGAAGAACAUCGGUGGCGAAAGCGUGCUACUGGGCUG
rnacentral:rRNA from 1 species